AUUGAACGCUGGCGGCAGGCCUAACACAUGCAAGUCGGGUGGUAGCACAGAAGAGCUUGCUCUUUGGGUGACGAGCGGCGGACGGGUGAGUAAUGUCUGGGAAACUGCCUGAUGGAGGGGGAUAACUACUGGAAACGGUAGCUAAUACCGCAUAACCUCGCAAGAGCAAAGAGGGGGACCUUCGGGCCUCUCGCCAUCAGAUGUGCCCAGAUGGGAUUAGCUAGUAGGUGAGGUAAUGGCUCACCUAGGCGACGAUCCCUAGCUGGUCUGAGAGGAUGACCAGCCACACUGGAACUGAGAAACGGUCCAGACUCCUACGGGAGGCAGCAGUGGGGAAUAUUGCACAAUGGGCGCAAGCCUGAUGCAGCCAUGCCGCGUGUGUGAAGAAGGCCUUCGGGUUGUAAAGCACUUUCAGCGGGGAGGAAGGCGGUAAGGUUAAUAACCUUAUCGAUUGACGUUACCCGCAGAAGAAGCACCGGCUAACUCCGUGCCAGCCGCCGCCGUAA
rnacentral:rRNA from 1 species